CCCUACGGGGGGCAGCAAUCAGGAAUAUUGCGCAAUGGGCGAAAGCCUGACGCAGCGACGCCGCGUGCGGGACGAAGGCCUUCGGGUCGUAAACCGCUGUUGUGGGAGACGAGGGAGCGUUGAUGAGGCGCUCGGGACGGUAUCCCACGAGGAAGCCCCGGCUAACUACGUGCCAGCAGCCGCGGUAAUACGUAGGGGGCGAGCGUUGUCCGAAGUUACUGGGCGUAAAGCGCGCGUAGGCGGCCUUUUAAGUGACUGGUGAAAUCCCCGGGCUCAACUCGGGAGGGUCUGGUCAUACUGGGAGGCUCGAGUGUGGGAGAGGAGAGCGGAACUCCUGGUGUAGCGGUGAUAUGCGUAGAGAUCAGGAAGAACACCCGUGGCGAAGGCGGCUCUCUGGACCACAACUGACGCUGAGGCGCGAAAGCCAGGGGAGCGAACGGGAUUAGAUACCCCAGUA
rnacentral:rRNA from 1 species